rnacentral:tRNA from 1 species
GGAGGUGUGCUAUAUGGUUUAGCGAUUGGAUUGCAAAUCUGAUUAAUAUAGGUUCAAAUCCUAUCUCCUCUU